AUGAGAAGCUUGCUUCUCUGAUGUUAGCGGCGGACGGGUGAGUAACACGUGGGUAACCUACCUAUAAGACUGGGAUAACUCCGGGAAACCGGGGCUAAUACCGGAUAAUAUUUUGAACCGCAUGGUUCAAUAGUGAAAGACGGUUUCGGCUGUCACUUAUAGAUGGACCCGCGCCGUAUUAGCUAGUUGGUAAGGUAACGGCUUACCAAGGCGACGAUACGUAGCCGACCUGAGAGGGUGAUCGGCCACACUGGAACUGAGACACGGUCCAGACUCCUACGGGAGGCAGCAGUAGGGAAUCUUCCGCAAUGGGCGAAAGCCUGACGGAGCAACGCCGCGUGAGUGAUGAAGGUCUUCGGAUCGUAAAACUCUGUUGUUAGGGAAGAACAAAUUUGUUAGUAACUGAACAAGUCUUGACGGUACCUAACCAGAAAGCCACGGCUAACUACGUGCCAGCAGCCGCGGUAAUACGUAGGUGGCAAGCGUUAUCCGGAAUUAUUGGGCGUAAAGCGCGCGUAGGCGGUUUCUUAAGUCUGAUGUGAAAGCCCACGGCUCAACCGUGGAGGGUCAUUGGAAACUGGGAAACUUGAGUGCAGAAGAGGAGAGUGGAAUUCCAUGUGUAGCGGUGAAAUGCGCAGAGAUAUGGAGGAACACCAGUGGCGAWGGCGGCUCUCUGGUCUGUAACUGACGCUGAUGUGCGAAAGCGUGGGGAUCAAACAGGAUUAGAUACCCUGGUAGUCCACGCCGUAAACGAUGAGUGCUAAGUGUUAGGGGGUUUCCGCCCCUUAGUGCUGCAGCUAACGCAUUAAGCACUCCGCCUGGGGAGUACGACCGCAAGGUUGAAACUCAAAGGAAUUGACGGGGACCCGCACAAGCGGUGGAGCAUGUGGUUUAAUUCGAAGCAACGCGAAGAACCUUACCAAAUCUUGACAUCCUUUGACCGCUCUAGAGAUAGAGUCUUCCCCUUCGGGGGACAAAGUGACAGGUGGUGCAUGGUUGUCGUCAGCUCGUGUCGUGAGAUGUUGGGUUAAGUCCCGCAACGAGCGCAACCCUUAAGCUUAGUUGCCAUCAUUAAGUUGGGCACUCUAGGUUGACUGCCGGUGACAAACCGRAGRAAGGUGGGGAUGACGUCAAAUCAUCAUGCCCCUUAUGAUUUGGGCUACACACGUGCUACAAUGGAUAAUACAAAGGGCAGCGAAUCCGCGAGGCCAAGCAAAUCCCAUAAAAUUAUUCUCAGUUCGGAUUGUAGUCUGCAACUCGACUACAUGAAGCUGGAAUCGCUAGUAAUCGUAGAUCAGCAUGCUACGGUGAAUACGUUCCCGGGUCUUGUACACACCGCCCGUCACACUCACGAGAGUUUGUAA
rnacentral:rRNA from 1 species